GAAGGAUCCCCGUGGAGUCCAAUCAGGGACGAAUGAAUGGAAGAAUGGUGAAAAGACGGCGAGACGUACGACGAUCUUGGAUAUUAAUCAAGAAGACUCUUCAAAGUUUGAAGAUUGGAAAGUCUGUAUGAAUCCCAGGAAUUCGCUCUCCGUAAAGGGCGGAGCAGUCGAGAAUACAAGGUGAUGAAUCAGAAAAGUCC
rnacentral:lncRNA from 1 species